AACCAGACUCAACGUCUGGGCUUUUAAUAGAAAACAGAACCAAAUACAAAAAGUCUCAGUGAAUAUCAAGAAUAGCCAGGGGGGCGAUGUUAGGUGGUAAUUCUUCCAACCAAGCCUAAAACACAUCACCAUAUUUGGCUUUUUUAGCUAUAGCAUCUGCUAUCCUAUUACAAGAUCUUUUAACAUAUAAAAAGAGUGAAGAGACUUAGGAAUUGUGUUUUUGGUUUAAUCAAGUUUAGGUAAUUGGAGUGUAUAUGUAGCAGUUUGUUUCUUAAUAAAAAAAAAGUUUGGGUGAGUCUAAACGGUGCGUUUCAUUUUCAACUUAAGAGAAACUCAUAGACGCCCAAAGCACGGUUAGAAAUUUGAAAGAAGUGAGGGAGGCUUGCUGAGAGAGGGAGAGGAGACCAGAAAGAGAAGAUUUUCUGUGCAUAGCAGAGGCCAGAGAUUCAGAGGAACUCUAAUUCAGCUAUUUUUGGAUGUUAAUAAUGACAAAGACAGCUUGGGGCAUGAUGGAGACGAGCAGUGGCCCUUCCAUAGUUUUUUUGAGCAACUCAUCCUUGAUAUUUUUGAUCCAUUCAAGCGAUUUUUUCCCCCUUCUUCCAUUUUGUUUUUGGUUGGGGUUGGGGAGGAGGGGAGGGUGUUGCGGGUUCACAAGAUAGAUCUUUCAUCAAGGUCAUUAUGCUUCUUAUUCUUUGAUAUUUCUUUUCAUUUUCAAGUGAUAGUUUCUCUGGCUAUAUAUGUUGAUAGUUUGGGAGGUUUGCCAUGGUAGUGUCAUGGCCUUGAGGGAAAUUUUUACUCAACAGGGUGCUUCUGCUGGGAUGUUUAUGCCUGACUUGAGCUGGGAUGGUGCAGUUUUUGUUGAAGUAGAAGAUAAAGAUAUAUCAAAUACAAUGAAGAGAGAGAGAUAGAGAGAUUGAUUGAUUGAUUUGAAUAUGCAAGUUUCAUCAGAUGGGCUUUAGCCAAAUCUGAGGAGGCCUAAGUUUGAAGAUGUGUCAUCCUCAACACAAUGGCCAAUAUUGUCUCUUACAGUGAGGUUGGUAAUUUUGAGGUCUGCAAGGAGGUUGAUCAUGGGUGGAAUUUGCCUUCUGGGCUGGAUAAUGGCCAGUUGAACGUUACUUUUGUUAAGGCUGAGGCAGAAUCUUUUCUUGAUGGUGCAUGAUAUUCGUGUAAAGAUGCUGCUGAUACUACAGAGAUGAAGGGUUACGCUGAGGAUAAGGUUUCCAUUGGAAAAGCAGAUAUGCUGAAAAUAUUCCUGAAAAUUGUGAGCUGAUGAACUUCGUUAAAGUAGCUAGGAAUUUGUGGCUAAAAAACUGUGAAUUUCUUCAAGAAUGUGCAAUUCAUCUAUUGUGUCUUUGACCGGUACGGUUUGAUAUAUGUAUAUUUAAAUAUGAACUGUGUACUUGAGUGAUUCGGUUUCCUCUUAAUGUAUUCAGAAUAGUAGACUAUAUAUAUUUCUGAUCUGUGUUUGUGUAUUCAUAUAUCAGUAAAUUCAAUUAUUUUAUUUUAUUUUAUUGCAGAUUUGGUGAUUAUGUAUCAGAUUAGGUUGUUGCCUUGUUUAAGUACAUGCAUCCCACAUUAGUUCAUGAAAGCUUAAAUAUAUUGUGAAAAAUGAAAUGCAGGUAACUGUGACCUAAGGAUAUGUCUUUAGUGCUAAAUAAUAUCGUUAAAGUUGGUACGUUUUCAAAUAUUCUCUUCUAACUAAAAAAGUAUUUAUUCAAUCCAAAAAAAAUAGUAUUCAUGCCAUUGACCCCCUCUUCCCUAUCAUUUUUCCUUUCCUUCAAUGUUUACUAACCUGUUACAUUGCAAAAGAAAAAGAAAAUUUGGCAAUUCAAUAUAUUUUCGUGAUUUUUGAAUGAUUAGUGUUGGUGGUAGUCUAUCAUCAACUAGGGUAAGAACUCAUCAAAUCUAAUAUUGCUCAAACUUUUACAACUGAGACCAUAUUAUAAUGAUGCAAUUCAAUAACUAUGAAGAUAACUAAUUUUGGCAAGUUAUCACCAACCUCCUCUUUUUCCUUUUUUUUUUCUUUCUAAAAUUGUUGAUGAGUUUACUCUCUCUAACGAAUCUAGCAACAUCAGGUGUUCUUUAUUUAGCUAUUCAAUCAUAGAGAACACAGGGUGUAUACAUUAAGCGUUUCCAUAUAGAAACUUUAAACUUUAAAGUUGAGCUCAUUAAAUUAGGCAUUUGAGAUUUUCUGAUAGUAUAGAAGUUCCUUACACUCAUAAGAGGUUUAUGAUUUCUUCAAGUUAAAGAGGGAACUUAUUAUUCUUUUGCUUGAUCGUAGAUUGAUACUUAUGAUGGAAUUUUUCUAUACAUGCUUUUUCCCAUUUUCUGAAUGUUUGGGUAGGUCCGUUUUUCAUUAUGGGUUCAAAUUUUGAAGAACUUACGUCUUUAUACUUUGUACUCAACAUACAUGAAUAAUGACAAAAUAAGAAAUCUUUUGUGCUUGGUUCGUAUACUAUUGCUUAGUUUUCAUAUGAGAUGGCUUUUCAGAAUAAUCAUUAUAUAUUAUAAUGCUUUGUACAUAGUCAGGAAAGAUUCCUUUAGCAUUUGUGAAAUUAUAAUUGUUUUUAUCUUACUGACGGCAAUAAUAUUCCCCCCUAGAAGACAAUGGAAAAUUCUAUUUAGGAGUUGCAUACAGCAAUUUUGAUUGGGCAUAGCUGAUGCAUGUGCUCCCACAUUAUGGAAGCUAUUAGAUAUUUUAUUGUCCAAGAUUGUCAUCAUUCAAUGGAAGAAUAUGCCGAAGGUAACUCCCGAGGUUUCCAUUAUUGUCAUCUAAAACAGAUAGACUGUUAUGUCUUCCAUUUAGUAGCAUCUUGAAGUUCAUGUGAUAUCAGAAAAAGCUGGUGGUAAUUCCAUCCAAAACUGACUUUCUACUCUCUCUUCCUUAAUAUUAGUAUUUUUUUUUCCUUUUUAGAAUAAAAUAUCAAACAUUUAUUAAUAAACUAUAUGAUAUUCCUUCCUUAAUAUAUUCACCUUUCUUCAAGUUUUUCAUAAAAUUUGGGCAUGAUGUUGUCUAUAGGAAAACUUGGUACUUGUAUUUCAACUGCGGUCUACUAAUGCAUGAACAGGUUUAGGUCCUUCAGCUCUCUAACUCUCGUUCUUGUGAAGGUUUUGGUUUUUUUUUUUUUAUUGCCCUUCCCCCAGCAUAAUAUAAUGCAUGAAAGAUAAUUUUUUCUUUUAUAAAAAUAAAUAUCCAUUAUAACUCACACAAAAUUAUUGAAAUCUAGCUUUUAAUUGUAGUUCAAAAUUCUAGCAUUAUGUUUAUUUUAUGGUCAGUGCUUUCUAAGAAGUUCAGAAAAGUAUAUCUAUAGGAAAACGGAAAUUAAGGAUAACAAAUUACCAAGCACCUAUGUCUUAUUCUAAAAUGAAAAAAAAAAAAAAAGACUUUCACAUCAAUACUAGCCAUAAUGUGCUCUCCUUGAUGAAAUCCAAGGCAGGGAAAUAAGGAAUAGGAAAUAUUCUGCUGAACUCAGGGCGGUGUAAGGACAGGAACAAUUUUCUUCCCCUACUUGUGACAAAUACCAGAACCUGCAAAUUAUGAGCCUUUCCAGAGUUGUGAGGCAGAUCUGUUUCACUACUAUCCAGCAAAGAUAAAUGUGCAAUCCCUCUCUAGAAAAAGCUACGUGGAAGAUUUGUCAGUGGUUGAGGAUUUAUUUUAACUUGUACACUUGUAAAACCUUAGAUUACAGCCAAAGCUGGAUAUUGCUGCUGUUCACUUUGAAAAUGAGGUAGAAGUAGUUGAGUGGCCCAGAGAUAAAAUUUGUCAACUGGAACCGUAAUUUGAAUGUAUCUGCAAUUGUUGAUUGGGUAUAUUAGGUAUCACCAUCGACAAAGCAUCAAGUAAGGCCAAGGCUUUCCUAGCAUUUACACUUUAUGCCAUGGCUGCUUCCAUUUCCCAUCUAUAUAAUGAGGAAUAGUUCUAUUCUUUCUUGAAUGUACAGAAUUAAUGACAAUUCAUUCACUUUUCAAAUCUUAUGUUGUGGCUUCCUACUUAAAGUCUCCAUAGUAGUGACUUCAACACUUUUCUAGAUUAUGAGGUACAAAUUUGUGAUUAGCCUUACAUAUUGGUUAUCAUUGUAUAUAUCUUUAUUUGAAUGCUCAAACUUCAGAAAUAAAAACAACAUAAAAUUUAAAAUUC